UUAUAAGUGACUACGUUUGGU
rnacentral:siRNA from 1 species